rnacentral:rRNA from 2 species
GACGAACCGUGCAAACGUUGUUCGGAAUCACUGGGCUUAAAGGGCGCGUAGGCGGGCGGCCAAGUCAGGGGUGAAAUCUUUCGGCUCAACCGGAAAAUUGCCUUUGAAACUGGCUGUCUCGAGGGAGGUAGGGGCAUGUGGAACUUCCGGUGGAGCGGUGAAAUGCGUUGAUAUCGGAAGGAACGCCGGUGGCGAAAGCGACGUGCUGGACCUCUUCUGACGCUGAGGCGCGAAAGCUAGGGGAGCGAACGGG